rnacentral:rRNA from 1 species
CGCCUCUUGAACAUUAUAAGAGGUCUAGCCUGCCCAGUGAAAUAAUUCAACGGCCGCGGUAUCCUAACCGUGCGAAGGUAGCGUAAUCACUUGUUCUCUAAAUCAGGACUAGUAUGAACGGCAUUACGAGGGUUAUACUGUCUCCUUUUUCUAAUUAGUGAACUUAAUCUUCCCGUGAAGAAGCGGGAAUAAGCCUAUAAGACGAGAAGACCCUAUGGAGCUUUAAACAAUCUAGCAUUUGCCCACUACCUUGAUUUUUCAGAACCACUAGACCCUGCAUAAUGACUAGAAGUUUUAGGUUGGGGUGACCGCGGAGUAAAAUUCAUCCUCCACAAUGAAGGAACCUUAAUUCUUAACUAAGAUAUACUUAUCUAUGUAUCAACUUACUGACAUCUAUUGACCCAAUAUAUUUGAUCAACGAACCAAGUUACCCUAGGGAUAACAGCGCAAUCCAUUUCAAGAGCCCCUAUCGCCAAAUGGGUUUACGACCUCGAUGUUGGAUCAGGAUAUCCCAGUGGUGCAGCCGCUACUAACGGUUCGUUUGUUCAACGAUUAAAAUCCU